rnacentral:rRNA from 1 species
UAGGGAAUCUUCGGCAAUGGGGGGAACCCUGACCGAGCAACGCCGCGUGAGUGAAGAAGGUUUUCGGAUCGUAAAGCUCUGUUGUUAAGGAAGAACGAGUGUGAGAAUGGAAAGUUCAUGCUGUGACGGUACUUAACCAGAAAGGGACGGCUAACUACGUGCCAGCAGCCGCGGUAAUACGUAGGUCCCGAGCGUUGUCCGGAUUUAUUGGGCGUAAAGCGAGCGCAGGCGGUUAGAAAAGUCUGAAGUGAAAGGCAGUGGCUCAACCAUUGUAGGCUUUGGAAACGGGUUAACUUGAGUGCAGAAGGGGAGAGUGGAAUUCCAUGUGUAGCGGUGAAAUGCGUAGAUAUAUGGAGGAACACCGGUGGCGAAAGCGGCUCUCUGGUCUGUAACUGACGCUGAGGCUCGAAAGCGUGGGGAGCGAACAGG